UCUUGUUUAGCUCUCAGUUUGGGAAAAAGAUGGAAAACAUACUUUAAAAAAAAGUAUUUAAAGAAUUAUCCAUAUUCAUACCUGAGCUAAAACUAUAAAAGUUGAAAAUCACUUAAUUCAUACCAAGUAGGGAUAUCUGUCUGUAGCUUUGGACAUGAGAAAAGGGAAAAACUUCCACAGAAUUCUGCACCUCCAUGGUGUACUAAAGCCCUUAUGAAAUCUUUUUCAUUAUGAUUAUAUUUAGUAGAAGACUUGAAUGUGUGCAGUGUUAUGAUACAACAGCUGCUAUUGCCUGCAAUUCCCACAAAACAUGCAUUUUGUAACGGAAUCAUUUCACUGAAUUACUAAUAAAUACAACUUGGUGUCAGACGAUACAUAACAGAAAUAAUCUACUGUUUGAGAAUUUCUCUCCAAAUGGCAGCUCACUAAGAAAAGAGGCUGCUCAGCAUUGUGGUGUUUAUUUCCAACCACCAAUAACAUCAAGCUUACAGUUUAUGAAAUCUGCAAAGAGUUAAGAAAGCUCGGAGCUGCCUAGCAAUGCUUUUGUGAUUCACUGCUACUAAGACCCUUAACUUCCAGUUACCAAUUUGUGAUAUAUACCACAAACUUUAUAUGGCUAACGACAGUAGUCUUGCCAUCAUUCUUUGUUUCAGACAGCAUUCCCAUUCCCCAGGAAUCCAGGGACUCCAGUGUGAAAAUCAGAGUCUGGCAGAACUCUGCAAUGUUAUUCAGUGCAUAAAUCUAUCUACUGGAUUAGUCUUUUCCAGUAAUUAUUAAUGGACCUUUUAUGCAUUGAUGUAAAAUGAGACAGGCCACUCUUUCUGAAACAGUGACUAAGCUAAGGAACAAAAAGCAUAUACAGGUUUUAGCAUCUAGUAACUGUUGUACAUCCACACUUUUCCAUGUAACCAAUUUUGAGUGUCUUUUUUUAUUUCUCUGUGAAACUUCAUAAGGCUUUAUCUUGUGCAGAUAUGACAUGUUGGCUUUAUUUAACUUUUCUAAUGCUUUACAAAUGCUUCAUGUCUUCAGCAGUUAGGUCGUGUUUAAUUUUGAACAACAUGGCAGAAUAUAUCCUGAAAAGAAAUCUGUCAAAAUUAUUGCAGAUUAAUAGCUGAUAAAUGAUACUGAAUUGUUAAUACCCAUGUUUCCAGUUAUUUUCUAAACUGUCAAAAGUUUAUCACUAAAUAAUAAACUUCCAAAGAAAUACAAAAAUCUAAUUAAUUUACAAUUGUAAAAUUUCCCAGUUUUUCUCUCAAAGGCACUGUGGUUCUUGUUCAGACUGACAAUUUCCUCAAAUUAACUCGACUAAUUUACUAUAUUUGAAAAGUCUUUUAGAAAAAUAACUCAGCAUCUGAAAUUGUGGGUGUUUACAACAUUCAUUUUUUUCAGCAUAACAGAAAUUGCAGCAAUCUAUUUCAGUUUUCUCUGCCCUAGAUUCAGGAAAUGAUGCAAGUUAAUUUCUGUUUGAAAUGCUCAGAAGUAUAGCACCUUGGAAAAGGAAAUUUUCCAGACCUGAGAUUGUAUGACUACUCAUACUUUUGUCUGGCUCAAAAUACAGGUUGUAAAAGACUUUGAAACAUGGUUUUGAAUAGUACUGGAGGCAAUCCAAAGACAAAUUUAAUUUGAAUUUUUUGUCUUAGCUGAUACAAAUUCAACAAGAGCGAAAAUAUGUUCUGUAGGUCUUCUUAGGCACCUUACUACAUAGGAGAAACUGUAAGUGCAGAAUUUGAAACUUAAGCACAUCCUUAAUGAGGAUACAACUGAAAUAAAACUACUUCCAAGGUCAGUAUUAAUCCAAUACUUCUGGAGUCAGACUGCAUGGCAUGUGCAUGAGAAGAAAAACGGUAGAUGAUGCUCCCUGAUGAGGGACCAGGACAGGCAGGUAUAAUGGUCAAACAGAAACAUGACGCCUUCUCCAAUCUCCUGCCAUUGGUGGUUCCAGCAGAGAGAGGGGCUGGCUGGCAUGAACACCCUGUCCAUUGACCCGUACUGCCUCCCAGUGGGCAUCGGCUACUUCUCUUUCGGGAUAAAACACAGGGGGGUUUAAAAUGCCUGGUACAGAAGCCAUUGUCCUCGGAUAGCUAAUGGGGGAGGUCACUGACAGCAAGACUUUGGGUAUCUAAAACCACAACGACAAAAUUCUUGCUCAUCUUCCAAGUGUGUAGCUCUCUGUGAAAUCACGGAUGCAUGGUUUACCUUUGCCUAUGUUCAUGCAGAACAUACACCUCCAUAAGAAAAAAAAACCCCAAACUGGUUUCAGCCGGCAGCCUUACAAAUGUGAGUUCUCAUCAUAUCAACUUGCACACAGAGGACUCUGUCCCCACCACUCUCAGCUCUGAGGAGCAGCAGCAGAGUGGUAUCACAUCCCAUGGCUGUACCCUCCAUGCAGUGCUAUGAGUAACUUUUUUUUCUUCUCACUUUUUUUGAAUGUGCUGAGAGCAACAGCACAGGACAUUAAAAUGGGAUGCCAAAAAUGAAGAAUGAAACAACAUGAGGAAAGAGCACUGUUUGCUGCAGUAAGGUCUCCACAAAGGAGUGAAGGAAGAGUUGGGGAAACGCUUUUGUACUUCUUUGACAGCCUACAGACUUUCACAGUUUACAGCCUCAACUUGCCUGUUCCUUCUGGGCUCAGCAAGACAAGAGAUCCGUUCAGAGCUGGGCACCUCAACUCUAUGUGUUAACUCAACUCUAACCCAAAAAAACCCCUAACAAUCCCUCCCAGCCUUGUGCAGAUGUUGUUACCUACCUGAAAACAGUCACCUGAAUCUUUGUUUUGGGAUAUUUGUGUGGUUGCUGCAACUUCAGACAGGGAGCGGGCUUUGGGGAAAACAGUUCUGUGCUCCUGUGGAAGUCACAGACACUUGUAAGGAUUAGAGCUGUUGCCCGUGCCUUAAACUUUGCAUUUGUCUAUGUCUCAUACCUUGAUCUUACAGAAUGGGGAAGAAAAAGACAACACUCAGUGCUGUAGCACAAGUUUCAUGAAUAAACAAAGCCUUCUGUGUCUA